rnacentral:rRNA from 1 species
GACAGAGGGGGCAAGCGUUGCUCGGAAUUACUGGGCGUAAAGGGCGCGUAGGCGGGAUGGCAAGUCGGUCGUGAAAUCCCUCGGCUCAACUGAGGAGCGUCGAUCGAAACUGCCGUUCUUGAGGGUUGCAGAGGAGACUGGAAUUCCCGGUGUAGCGGUGAAAUGCGUAGAUAUCUGCAGGAACACCCGUGGCGAAAGCGGCGCGCUGGACCACUACUGACGCUGAGGAACGAAAGCGAGGGGAGCAAACAGG